GACGAACGCUGGCGGCGUGCCUAACACAUGCAAGUCGAACGGGCGAUCUUCGAGUGGCAACACUCGGGGAGAGCUAGUGGCGAACGGGUGAGUAACACGUGAGGAACCUACCUCGGUCUCUGGGAUAACAGCGGGAAACUGCUGCUAAUACCGGAUGCCCUCGUCGAGUCGCAUGGCUCGAUGAGGAAAGGGCUACUGGACCGGGACGGCCUCGCGGCCUAUCAGCUAGGUGGUGGGGUAACGGCCCACCAAGGCGUCGACGGGUAGCUGGUCGGGGAGGAGGAUCAGCCACACUGGGACUGAGACACGGCCCAGACUCCUACGGGAGGCAGCAGUGGGGAAUCUUGCGCAAUGGGCGAAAGCCUGACGCAGCAACGCCGCGUGAGGGAUGAAGGCCUUCGGGUUGUAAACCUCUAUCAGCAGGAACGAAUCUGACGGUACCUGCAGAAGAAGGUCCGGCCAACUACGUGCCAGCCGCCGCCGUAAUAC
rnacentral:rRNA from 1 species